CCCAGCUGUGAACAACAUAGUAAAAGGCAGGAAGGAUUACACCUUAAAGCUUACUGCUCCGUGCCCCUGUGUGUGUGACCCAGAGGGAUGAGGGUCACUGUGUGUGGCAGUCAGUGACCAAUACAGGGAGCUCCUUUGGGGCCUUGGGCACCGCUGGUCCUCUCAGCUGUGGCUGGAGUGGCGGGAUCCUAGGAUAUAAAGGUGAACAAAACUGGCAAAAUGCUGACCACCUGGGGUUGAAGUUCAACCAUUCAGAAAUGUAGUCUUUGUUACCUCUAUUUGGGGGCAUUUAUUGAGAUUUCCUCCAUUGGCUAGUAUGUGAACAAGUCGUCUAAAAAAAAAAGUGUUUUCUCAGUUUGUUAAAUAAAGUUCUCUCACUU